UCCUGAGCACGCUGCAUGGAAGUCAUGUUAGCAGCUGCAGCAGCUAACAGUAUCUCUGCUCACUUUGUCUUCCAGAUACUGAAGAAACUUCCAGAUCUUCCUGCUGCAGAGGUGUCAGUGGAGCAAGGUGAAACUCAACAUGAAGAUGAGCAGCACUGGUCUAGAGAGUUUAAGGCUCAACCUUGAGAGGUCCGUCUGCACAAUCUGUUCACUGAACUCACCACACCAGCUGAAACAUGCACUGAGGUGGGAGUUUGAUUAGAGGUAUGAGGAUGGAUACCACACUUCAAUGUCUCAACAAGAUCUCUUCAGUGGAUCAUUGAAGAUGAACACAGCAUUGGUUGAAGUUUGACGAUGGUGCAGUGACUCCUUCAGCAGCACCACUGAGCUGUUCUAGAGAUGUUCUAGCUGAAGGUAUCUGUCUGUGGACAUUCAGGAAGAUGCUGUGAUCACUGAAUGGAGUGUCUGCUCAGGUGAGUGAGCUUGUCUGUUACACAGUAACAUGAAGUCCAAAUCACAGCACAAGCAAAAUGGUUUCCUUUAUGAUGACACCCGCACACGUCUUACGCCUUGUGUCAAUGCUAGACCUGAAAAGGUGGACCCACUGGCGUUGCCUUGGCAACAAGGGGAAAACUUGUUGGGGUUACCAACAGUCUGAAUGGAAACAAGCUAACAUGGGUCUGAGAACUGACUUAAAAUGCAGUUAAUAAAAACCUGAGAUGUGGCUGAUUAGACAUUAUAGCCAGUAUCAGAUUUGUAUGAUAGUUACAAAAUGAAUCUGAUCACAUUCCUAUUCUAUGUACCAGCAGACAGGUAUAAAGUGUUGAUCUUUGCUCUUGUUCUUUUUAGGUUGCCAUCAAAUUGUAGAGGUCCUCUGGAUUGUGAGUUGAGGUAAGUAUCUGUUAGUGCUGUCAUGUUUCUCAGCCUUUCUAGAGCAGAAGUGAUGAGUUUCUGUUUACCGCCCCAGUCUGAAGAUUCAUGACUGAUUGGUAUCCUCUGAUCAUGAAAUGUUACAAAAUAGUUUAAUUGAAUGUAAUGAGUCACUGGGGCUCAGUGUUAGUAUCACAAGUGUAAAGGAUGCUCACUAACCUGAACAACUUGUCUCCACCAUUAGGAUCACGCUGCCUGUCAAACUAUCCAUGUGAAGCAAGAUGAUGGAGGUUGCCAUCAAAUUGUAGAGGUCCUCUGGAUUGUGAGUUGAGGUGUCAUCAAAACUGCUGGAUCUGCUACUUUGUGGCAUUUGUGAUGCUGGACACAUCGGAGUGACAACAUGGAAGCUAUCAACCAUCUUCUCCUACAGCUCAAUACACUUCAGAAAACGUGAAGAAUAUUAAACAUGUCAUAACUAAGAAGUUUGUUACUCUGAUAUAUAUUUUGUAUUUAAUACUUUGCUGAUUGAUCUGAGUUUCCAGUGAUCAGUUUUGA